rnacentral:rRNA from 1 species
GAUGAACGCUGGCGGCGUGCCUAACACAUGCAAGUCGAACGCACAGGUUAUACCGUAGCUUGCUACACCAUAAACUGUGAGUUGCGAACGGGUGAGUUACGCGUAGCUAACCUGCCUGGUAGCGGGGGAUAACUAUUGGAAACGCUAGCUAAUACCGCAUAAUAUUGAUUAUUGUAUGAUAAUUGUUUGAAAGAGGCUAUUGCAUCACUACUAGAUGGAUUUGCGUUGUAUUAGCUAGUAGGUGAGGUAACGGCUCACCUAGGCGACGAUACGUAGCAGACCUGAGAGGGUGGUCAGCCAGCCUGGGAGUGUGACACGGCCCAGAGUCCUACGGGGAGCAGCAGUAGGGAAACUUCGGCAAGGGGGGGAAGUCUGACCGAACAACGCCGCGGGAGUGAAGAAGGUUGUCGGGUCGUGAAGGUCUGUUGUAGGGGAAGAACGGGUGUGAGAGUGGAAAGUUGACACUGUGACGGUAUCUUACCAGGAAGCAACGGCUAACUACGUG